AUUGAACGCUGGCGGCAUGCCUUACACAUGCAAGUCGAACGGCAGCACGGGAGCAAUCCUGGUGGCGAGUGGCGAACGGGUGAGUAAAGUAUCGGAACGUGCCCAGUCGUGGGGGAUAACGUAGCGAAAGUUACGCUAAUACCGCAUACGAUCUACGGAUGAAAGCGGGGGAUCGCAAGACCUCGCGCGAUUGGAGCGGCUGAUAUCAGAUUAGGUAGUUGGUGGGGUAAAGGCUCACCAAGCCGACGAUCUGUAGCUGGUCUGAGAGGACGACCAGCCACACUGGGACUGAGAAACGACCCAGACUCCUACGGGAGGCAGCAGUGGGGAAUUUUGGACAAUGGGCGCAAGCCUGAUCCAGCCAUGCCGCGUGCAGGAUGAAGGCCUUCGGGUUGUAAACUGCUUUUGUACGGAACGAAAAGGUUUGGCCUAAUAAGCUGGACCCAUGACGGUACCGUAAGAAUAAGCACCGGCUAACUACGUGCCAGCCGCCGCAGUAA
rnacentral:rRNA from 1 species